AUCCUCCUGACCGCAUAUGAAAGUAUGUUUUCUGGCUUCGGUCAGACAGAGAGACAGGUGGUGCAUGGUUGUCGUCAGCUCGUGUCGUGAGAUGUUGGGUUAAGUCCCGCAACGAGCGCAACCCCUACGUUUAGUUGCUAACGCGUGAAGGCGAGCACUCUAGACGAACUGCCGUUGACAAAACGGAGGAAGGUGGGAUGACGUCAAAUCAUCAUGCCCCUUAUGUUCUGGGCUACACACGUGCUACAAUGGCCGGUACAGACGGACGCAAAGCCGCGAGGUGGAGCAAAUCCUAAAAAGCCGGUCUCAGUUCGGAUUGCAGGCUGCAAUUCGCCUGCAUGAAGUCGGAAUCGCUAGUAAUCGCAGGUCAGCAUACUGCGGUGAAUACGUUCCCGGGCCUU
rnacentral:rRNA from 1 species